GACAGAGGGUGCAAACGUUGUUCGGAAUUACUGGGCGUAAAGCGAGUGUAGGCGGUCUGAUAAGUCGGGUGUGAAAGCCCCGGGCUCAACCCGGGAAGUGCACUCGAAACUGACAGGCUAGAGUAUCGGAGAGGUUGGUGGAAUUCUCGGUGUAGAGGUGAAAUUCGUAGAUAUCGAGAGGAACACCGGUGGCGAAGGCGGCCAAUUGGACGAAUACUGACGCUGAGACUCGAAAGCGUGGGGAGCAAACAGG
rnacentral:rRNA from 1 species